rnacentral:rRNA from 1 species
AAAGAAACUAACAAGGAUUCCCUUAGUAACUGCGAGUGAAGAGGGAAGAGCUCAAAUUUAAAAUCUGGCAGUGUUUUGCUGUCCGAGUUGUAAUCUAGAGAAGUGCUGCCCGUGCUGGACCAUGUACAAGUCUCCUGGAAUGGAGCGUCACAGAGGGUGAGAAUCCCGUCUUUGACAUGGACUACCAGUGCAUUUGUGGUGUGCUCUCAAAGAGUCGAGUUGUUUGGGAAUGCAGCUCUAAAUGGGUGGUAAACUCCAUCUAAAGCUAAAUAUUGGCGAGAGACCGAUAGCGAACAAGUACCGUGAGGGAAAGAUGAAAAGAACUUUGGAAAGAGAGUUAAACAGUAUGUGAAAUUGUUGAAAGGGAAACGCUUAAAGUCAGUCGUGUCGGCCAGGGAUCAACUCAGCUUUCUCUGCUGGGUGUACUUCCUGAUCUGAUGGGCCAACAUCAGUUUUGACUGCUGGAGAAGGAUAGAGGGAAUGUGGCACCUUCGGGUGUGUUAUAGCUCUUUGUCAGAUGCAGUGGUUGGGACUGAGGAAAGCAGCAUGCCGCAAGGCCGGGUCGUUUCGACCACGUUCAUGCUGAGGAUGUUGGCAUAAUGGCUUUAAUCGACCCGUCUUGA